AAGGAUCUGGAGGGUUUAUUCCAGAAGUGCCAGAGAUGGAAGAUGAUGUGGCGGAGUCCCAGGGAAAUAAAGAUCCUUGUUUAUCUGAUGAUACCAACGAAGAAUCGUCUGUGAAACAGUGGAAGGAGGAUAGCCUACAGAAAUGGUUGGAGCAUCAGUC